rnacentral:rRNA from 1 species
GACGAACGCUGGCGGCGUGCUUAACACAUGCAAGUCGAACGGAAAGGCCCUGCUUUUGUGGGGUGCUCGAGUGGCGAACGGGUGAGUAACACGUGAGUAACCUGCCCUUGACUUUGGGAUAACUUCAGGAAACUGGGGCUAAUACCGGAUAGGAGCUCCUGCUGCAUGGUGGGGGUUGGAAAGUUUCGGCGGUUGGGGAUGGACUCGCGGCUUAUCAGCUUGUUGGUGGGGUAGUGGCUUACCAAGGCUUUGACGGGUAGCCGGCCUGAGAGGGUGACCGGCCACAUUGGGACUGAGAUACGGCCCAGACUCCUACGGGAGGCAGCAGUGGGGAAUAUUGCACAAUGGGCGGAAGCCUGAUGCAGCAACGCCGCGUGCGGGAUGACGGCCUUCGGGUUGAAAACCGCUUUCGCCUGUGACGAAGCGUGAGUGACGGUAAUGGGUAAAGAAGCACCGGCUAACUACGUG